GAUGAAGAACGUAGCGAAAUGCGAUAAGUAAUGCGAAUUGCAGAAUUCCGUGAGUCAUCGAAUCUUUGAACGCACAUUGCGCCCGCCAGCACUCUGGCGGGCAUGCCUGUCCGAGCGUCAUUUCAACCCUCAGGGCCCCUUCGGGGGACCUGGCGUUGGGGAUCGGCCCGCCCCCGUGCGGCGCCGUCCCCGAAAUAUAGUGGCGGUCUCGCUGCAGCCUCCCCUGCGUAGUAGCACACCUCGCACUGGAGAGCGGCGCGGCCACGCCGUGAAACCCCCAACUUCUGAAUGUUGACCUCGGAUCAGGUAGGAAUACCCGCUGAACUUAAGCAUAUCAAUAAGCGGAGGA
rnacentral:misc_RNA from 1 species